UCUACCCGACGACGGUGUGCUAACCCGCAAGGGAGGCAGCCGGCCACGGUAGGCUCAGCGACUGGGGUGAAGUCGUAACAAGGUAGCCGUAGGUGAACCUGCAGAAGGAUCA
rnacentral:rRNA from 1 species